rnacentral:rRNA from 1 species
UACAGAGGUCUCAAGCGUUGUUCGGAUUCAUUGGGCGUAAAGGGUGCGUAGGUGGCGCGCUAAGUCAGGUGUGAAAUUUCGGAGCUUAACUCCGAAACUGCAUUUGAUACUGGCGUGCUUGAGGACUGGAGAGGAGACUGGAAUUCAUGGUGUAGCAGUGAAAUGCGUAGAGAUCAUGAGGAAGACCAGUGGCGAAGGCGGGUCUCUGGGCCACUACUGACGCUGAGAAGCGAAAGCAUGGGGGAGCGAACAGG